AUUUUCAGGUUCAUACUUGUAUUUGGGGUUUCUACCAGAACAUGUUUAGAUGCUUUAAUGUAAAAGAAAAAACAUGAUUUUUCUCAUACAGUCUGUCUGAAUAUACCUGCAUUCAUCCUCUGUGUGAAAUGCUCAGUUUUAGCGCCUGUCAACAUUGCCAGGCAAC